GAAUCCGAUCAGCAUUCGGAUCGGAUUCGAUCGAGGUAUAAAAGCAAUAUCCGGUGCCUGGAUUAGUAUCAUUGCAUUAGCAGUUACGAUUUAGAGCGUUUUGUACGAGUUAGAGUGAUUUAAUUCAAUUGUGGAAAAAUGGCCGCCAAGUUCAUUGUUCUGUUCGUCGUAGCCCUGUUCGCCUCGGCUACGCUGUCAGCUCCUGCGCCGAUUCCAGAUCCAAAGGCACAACUUCUGGCCGCCGCCCCGUUGGCAUACUCCGUAGGUGCACUUCCCUAUGCAUACUCGAGCUAUGCGUCACCGUAUACGAGCUAUGUGUCACCCUAUGCGGCAGCCUACAGCUAUCCCGGAUUAGCCUAUAGCUAUUCGUAUCCUUACGCUGCUUUUCUUUAAGUUUGGAAGCCUUGGGACGGGAUUAGCUAUAAUUAGGAAAUAAAGCCUGGAAGUAUUUUUUAAUGUUAUUCAAACUGCAAUAAACUACGUACAAAUUU